UCCGCACCGCUUGCAUGUGAGUGCAAUUAGUGACAUAUUCGUUUAAAGUAGUCAGUAUUGUGUGUUUUCGUGCUGAAUAAACCAACAAUGCUGUGCGUUUAGCUGUACUUUCGAAGUCAAGAAGAGAAGGAUGCAGUAAGAAGAAGUAUAUGGCUGAUGAACAUCUGCAGAGCAAACUAGCAGAACACAAAGGCAGCUGCAUUGCGUGAAAUGGGAGACAGUGCCUUGUCCCUCAAGUGUCUCCAGCUUUUGGCUGUUGACUGAAGGGGUGAAGGGUCUGUCGGGAGGAAAUGCGAUUGAUGAAAGUUCCGGUGUUUUGGACCAUGGAUAGCUACAUGUGGAGGUGCCGUAGCGAUAACCUAUGGUGCUCUACAAGGUGUACUUUCGAAGCCAAGAAGAGAGGGAAGCAGCAAUAAGAAGAAUAUGGCUGAUGAACAUCUGCAGAGCAAACAGCAUUGUGUUGAGGUAUUUGCGCAAGUAGUUGCGCUGCACGAAAAUAGAAAUCUUUGGUCUCCUUAGAUUUUGUUGGUGUGGAAGAUGUGGGUGUAGCACAUCCUCCUGAUUCCAUGUCGUUUGUGGUGGCCAUAGCUACUCCACUAUUCAGUCUGAGUCACACGGAAGCUCCACGUCAUUUCCUUCUGCAGGCUCUGCAGCACUGUUGGUGGAAGCUGCUAUGGCAUCACUUUCAUGUCAUGAGCUUCCAUCUCUUCCAAAUGUACAAAAUAAUGAUUUAGACGUAGGAGGAGGAGAUCACUGUUUAACUUCCCGUAAAUAAGGAAGUCGUUAGAGGUGGACCACAAGCUUAGAAUAGCAAAGAAUGGCAAAGGAAAUAAGAAUAACUUUACACCAGACCAGUUUGAAACUAACAAAACUGGUGGAGCAAUAAAACGUAAACCGAAUGCUGUGCCAACCAUUUUUGGUGGUUGUAAGCCACCAGUGGUAUGCAAAGCUCAUGCUGAGAGGAAACCUGUUGGCCUCCUAGAGAAACAUACUGAGGAUACAGAGGUUGAAGAGCCUUCAAAUGUGACCAGUGACAUAAGUCCUGCAGAGAACUUGGGCACAACUGAAGAUGAAGUCACCACCCUGAAGAACCUAGUCCAACAGCUUCAGACUGGAAUUGAAGCUUUAAAGAGAAAUCUCAACCCCUCUCAGAAAGGGAGAGGAGAGUGUAUUUAGGAAAAGACAACCUAAUUGCCAGUCUGCAUGGUUUGUUCAGUGCAGAUAUGUUUGCAGUAAGAACAAAGGGGACAUGCAGUGGGAACACUGCAGCCAGGGCUAAAAAUAAGACUAGCUUGUGGUGGUAUGGGGUACAAAGUCCUGCUGGAAAAUAAAUUACCAUUUCCUUCAGACAGAACCCCAAUAUGUUCGCUACAGAACAUAAAAUUUAGACCUGGUGUGCUUAGGGAGCUUGUGAGUUCCCUGAAAGUCAAGCUUGACCUCAUGUUACCAGAGGAGAAACGUGUUCUCACGAUGGAUGAGGUUAGUAUCACUCCAUCAUUGGAAUGUAAUUGAAGCAUUGGCUGCACUAUAGGAUACAACACCUCCAUCAAAUCUUGCCCUUGCAACAACUAUAGCUUCUCAUGCAUUAGUUGUUAUGCUGGGUGGUAUUACCUCAAGAUGGAAACAAACAACAGGUUACCAUUACACAGGGCCAUCUUUUUCCAGUUUUCAUGCCUAAGACAUCAUAAUAUGCAUUAUUAGAGUGUCCUAGGCACUUGGUAUCAAUGUUCAAUAUGUUGUGUCAGAUAUGGGAGGGCAAAAUCGAGUUCUAUGGUGAGAAUUUGGUAUUGUUGUGGCUGGUUUUCAGAAUUAUUCAAUUGCUGCCAGUAUCCUUGUGAUAAGAGGGUGCUAAUUUUCAUCGCAAAUACACUACCAUUUUGAGAAAUAUGGGGAACCACUUAGUAAAUGGGCAGUCAGUCUCCCCUUCACCAACUGUUGUUGAGGAACGUGAUCUACCUUGUAAUCAGGUACAUAUAAAUUGUGUAAAACAGUUGCAUGAGUAGGCAACGGUUUACGUUUUAAAUUGGAACUACAACUGUGUGAGGGAUGUUUGAUGCCAAACCGUUAUAAAAUGAAAGUUGGCUUAGCUGCUGCCCUAAUUAACUGAAAGACUGCAGCAGCCACUGAGUAUGCCAGAAAAAAGUUUUAGCCACAGCGUGGUUUCUAAAGCACAUUCAUAAGUGGUCUUGCCUCACGACAUCCAGAACUCCAGUUAUGGCUCCGAGUCAUUCUGAUGAACAAACAUACAGUGAGGUUCUCUGUCAUUAGGAGGGCACUGUGACUAUUUGAAGAAUUGAAAUUGGCCUGAAGUGUGCCAGGAAACCAGUUCAGUCUGGUGUAGUUUUGACAACUGCAGGUAUUUUGGAAUUGCAGGAGACAGUCCUGAACAAGAAGAAAUUUAAAUUUUUGCUAAUAAGUAGAUUUACUCGAGAUGCCUUAGAAAAUAUGUUUUCAGUGGUCUGCUUCAAAAAUCCACUACCAACACCACGAGAAUUGAGAUCAGCACUGAGGGUUAUUACUCUUCCUCAGUUCUUUACUACUGUGACUGAUAAUGAAAAUUAAGACAGUAGUUUCCUGGCAGAACUAGUGGGGGAAUCUGUAAGUGAAGAUGAGGAUAAAUGUGCUGAGAAAGUUGAUGAGCCACUUUGUAAUAUGGUGUGUGAUUACGAGCACGAGUCUCUACACUAUUUAUGAAGUAACACUUUUAGGCAAGAUAUGAAGCAUCAUGCACUUUGAAAGUUUUGUGAGGAGGGCCCAACUGAAUCUAGAGAAAUUGUAUGUCUGUGAAAAUGCUUUUACAUCUAAAGUCCUUUACAGAGACCUCACUUAUUGAGCCAUCAAGUGAGGUUGUCUGUGUAUUUCAAACGGCGGAGAUGUACCGAGUGAUCAACAAGUCAGUAUAAAUUUGAAAACUUAAUAAACCACGGAAUAAUGUAGCCUUGAGAGGUAAAAAUUGACACACACGUUUGGAAUGACAUGGGAUUUCAUUACAACAACAAAAAAAUUCACAAA